AGGGGGCAAGACUGCGCUCAGCGGGUGACCGAUGCAACAAGGUUGCCGUAAUGGAAGGUGUGGCUGGAUCACCUCCUU
rnacentral:rRNA from 1 species